rnacentral:miRNA from 1 species
AGAAAAGAGAGAGCACAACCCAUGGACAAUGGUGAUGUCAUAAUCACUUCUCCAACUCUCUCUCCUUUCAGGAUUUUGGCAGGCACGGACGCACC